GUUCAACAGAGAGACGACGAUCAAGGACAGCUACACGAGGGCUGCAGCUAAGAAGAAGGUGAUGAAGACAGGUGUGGGAGAGGUGCUGCCCUUCAUCAAGUGGAUGGUGUACAGGAAGAUCAGGUGACCCGGGACGACCAACAGGAGCAGCACCUGGGCAGAGCGAUGAUUGGCGCCUGUCAGAGAGGUAUGUUAAGGGGACUGGUCAUGUGCAUGAGCCUGCCUACAUGUUGUCACGGAUUCUGCCGAGGCUGCUCCUCCUCCUUGUUCGGGCAGGCUUCGGCGUUCGUCGU